CCCCGGAACCUCCAAGGCUGAGCUGACGCCGCAGCGGCCGCGUCACGUCCCACGAGCUCAGCUCCGUCGGGGACAGCCUGAGCAGCGCGCGAUGCAGGCGGAAGGAUGCGGGGAGCCCCUUCGUCAGGGUCAAAGGCUCCAGAUGUUGAAAACCAAAGGAAGCAGAGGAGAAAGAGCCAGGAGGUACAACCUUAGGCAAGUCAUUCCCCUUCAUCCCACGUCUGUUUCUUCAUCCGGAAAACAAGAACUGAGACUUUCACUGGAGAGAAAUUCAAAUGGGGCAUAAACGACAGGGCCAGACCCAUAGGAGGUCGUGUGAUGGA